rnacentral:rRNA from 1 species
GUACCGUGAGGGAAAGGUGAAAAGCACCCCGGAAGGGGAGUGAAAUAUAACCUGAAACCGUGUGCUUACAAAUAGUCAGAGCCCGUUAAUGGGUGAUGGCGUGCCUUUUGUAGAAUGAACCGGCGUGUUCCGAUUUGAUGCAAGUUUAAGCUGUAUAUGUGGAGCCGUAGCGAAAGCGAGUCUGAAUAGUGCUACUGAGUAUCUGGUCGUAGAUCCGAAACCAACUGAUCAACCCAUGUCCAUGUCGAAGCUCAGGUACCACUGAAGAUUGGACGCAAGCGGCUUUCGUUGAUACGUG